GGUUUGACGGUACCUAUAAAGGAAGCACCGGCUAACUCCGUGCCAGCAGCCGCGGUAAUACGGGGGGUGCAAGCGUUGUUCGGAAUUAUUGGGCGUAAAGCGCGUGUAGGCGGUCUGAUUAGUCUGAUGUGAAAGCCCUGGGCUCAACCCAGGAAGUGCAUUGGAUACUGUCAGACUUGAAUACGGGAGAGGGUAGUGGAAUUCCUAGUGUAGGAGUGAAAUCCGUAGAUAUUAGGAGGAACACCGGUGGCGAAGGCGGCUACCUGGACCGAGAUUGACGCUGAGACGCGAAAGCGUGGGUAGCAAACAGGAUUAGAUACCCUGGUAGUCCACGCCGUAAACGAUGAGAACUAGGUGUCGCGGGUA
rnacentral:rRNA from 1 species